rnacentral:rRNA from 1 species
UACAGAGGGUGCAAGCGUUGUUCGGAAUUAUUGGGCGUAAAGCGCGUGUAGGCGGUCUGUUAUGUCGGGUGUGAAAGCCCUCAGCUUAACUGAGGAAGUGCGCCCGAAACUGGCAGACUUGAGUGUCGGAGAGGAUAGCGGAACACCCGGUGUAGAGGUGAAAUUCGUAGAUAUCGGGUAGAACACCAGUGGCGAAGGCGGCUAUCUGGACGACAACUGACGCUGAGACGCGAAAGCGUGGGGAGCAAACAGG